rnacentral:rRNA from 1 species
GCCAUGAAUCUGGUCUUGGGACACUGUCAGGUGGGCAGUUUGACUGGGGCGGUCGCCUCCCAAAAGGUAACGGAGGCGCUCAAAGGUUCUCUCAGUACGGUCGGAAAUCGUACGUAGAGUGUAAAGGAAAAAGAGAGCUUGAUUGCAAGACAUACAGGUCGAGCAAGGAUGAAAAUCGGACUUAGUGAUCCGGUGGGUCUGCGUGGAAGGGCCAUCGCUCAACGGAUAAAAGCUACCCUGGGGAUAACAGGCUUAUCUCCCCCAAGAGUCCACAUCGACGGGGAGGUUUGGCACCUCGAUGUCGGC